UUUGUGACCGACACUAACGGGUAAUUGUUUGGUCACCAGGAUUACUCGUUUUUGCGAUCACAAAUC
rnacentral:pre_miRNA from 1 species